GCCGGUGUGGCGGAAUUGGCAGACGCGCACGACUCAAAAUCGUGUGGGGCAACCCCCCGUGAAGGUUCGACCCCUUUCACCGGCA
rnacentral:tRNA from 1 species